rnacentral:rRNA from 1 species
CGUUCCCGGGCCUUGUACACACCGCCCGUCACGUCAUGAAAGUCGGUAACACCCGAAGCCGCUGGCCUAACCCGUAAGGGAGGGAGGCGUCGAAGGUGGGAUUGGCGAUUGGGACG